rnacentral:misc_RNA from 1 species
GAUGAAGAACGCAGCGAACUGCGAUAAGUAAUGUGAAUUGCAGAAUUCAGUGAAUCAUCGAGUCUUUGAACGCACAUUGCGCCCCCUGGCAUUCCGGGGGGCAUGCCUGUCCGAGCGUCAUUGCUGCCCUGCAAGCCCGGCUUGUGUGUUGGGUCGUCGUCCCCCCCGGGGGACGGGCCCGAAAGGCAGCGGCGGCACCGCGUCCGGUCCUCGAGCGUAUGGGGCUUUGUCACCCGCUCGAUUAGGGCCGGCCGGGCGCCAGCCGGCGUCUCCAACCUUCUAUUUUACCAGGUUGACCUCGGAUCAGGUAGGGAUACCCGCUGAACUUAAGCAUAUCAAUAAGCGGAGGA